GACGAACGCUGGCGGCGUGCCUAAUACAUGCAAGUUGAGCGAUUAAGAUUGGUGCUUGCACCAAUUUGCAGAGCAGCGAACGGGUGAGUAACGCGUGGGGAAUCUGCCUUUGAGCGGGGGACAACAUUUGGAAACGAAUGCUAAUACCGCAUAACAACUUUAAACAUAAGUUUUAAGUUUGAAAGAUGCAAUUGCAUCACUCAAAGAUGAUCCCGCGUUGUAUUAGCUAGUUGGUGAGGUAAAGGCUCACCAAGGCGAUGAUACAUAGCCGACCUGAGAGGGUGAUCGGCCACAUUGGGACUGAGACACGGCCCAAACUCCUACGGGAGGCAGCAGUAGGGAAUCUUCGGCAAUGGACGAAAGUCUGACCGAGCAACGCCGCGUGAGUGAAGAAGGUUUUCGGAUCGUAAAACUCUGUUGGUAGAGAAGAACGUUGGUGAGAGUGGAAAGCUCAUCAAGUGACGGUAACUACCCAGAAAGGGACGGCUAACUACGUG
rnacentral:rRNA from 1 species